CAAGGAGGGGAGCGCCACCUUAGGGGGACCAGGGCUUGUGGACGGGGGGACAGGGCUCCUCGCUUUCCCCAGGGUCCCCGGGGCAGAGCUGCCCUGGGAAUAAUCUGCUUUCUCAGGAGCACCAGGAGACUCCCAGCAGCUCGGCACAGCACAGCUCAACUCUAUACAGCAUGGCACGGCACAGCUGGUACGGCACAGCUUGGCACAGCCCGGCACAGCUCGGCACGGCCCGGCACGGCCUGGCCUGGCUUGGCCCAGCACGGCUCAGCGCUGCACAGCUUGGCCUGGCUUGGCCUGGCUCAGGCCCGGGGGUCAGCGGGACCCACCCCAGGUGUACGGGGGCUGGGACAGCACUGCUGGGCUCGCUGCCCCCACCCAGCUGCCUUCCCCCGUGCGGCUCACAUGGGGCACGAGUUUGCUGGUUCUCAGUGCAGCUCUCUCUCUGCCCCCCACAAGCCCUGCCCCGGGGGGUGUCAGAGAUGCCGGGUGCAUGUGGCAGAUGUGACCCCCUGUUCUCACACCAAGGGCGCCCAGGCUCCCCCGCGCUGUCGGCGCAGAGCCGCUCCCCAUCACAGCAGCAGCCCCGCACAAGGCCCCAUGCCGCCGGGUGCUGUGCCUGGCACAGGCCUGCGCCACCUCGCCCCCCUGCCCACCGGACCCCGGCAGCCUCAGAUGCUCCACAUGGGUCCGAUGGCCCCCAGCCUGCGGGGGAGCCCUUCCCACCGGGGUCCGUGCACGGGAUCCCGCUCUGCCCUUCUGCUCGCUCCUGCCACGGCGGGCAAGUCCUGCCCGGUGGGACUUUGCCCCAGCCAGCUGGAUCCACAGGUUGCCCCACAACCCGCUGGCGGCCCCAUUUCCAACCAGCCAGCACCUCCGAGGGGGAUGUCGUGCCCAGGGCGAGAGGUGGCGCAUGUCCCCCUGCACAGCCGCCCUGGGGACAAGGGGCUGGGGGGACACAGGGACAGCCCCCAGCCCRGCCCCCCAAACAGACCCCCAUCUGCUCCAGCAAACUCGGCAGCACGGCACCAUACCUCAUGGGGGCAAAACCCAUGGGGCACAGCCUGCCCCGCGGCUCGGGAACCGGACCCCCCCAUCCCCAGGCCCCAUCCAUGCCACCCCCUCUGGGACACUCAGUCCAGUACUGGGACCCAUGGGCUGUCACCUCCCAGAGGGGGACGGGAUUGGAGGGAUUGAGGUGGUGACUGAGGGGCAGGGGGUCAGGGAAGGAUCGGGGGGAUCCNNNNNNNNNNNNNNNNNNNNNNNNNN
rnacentral:lncRNA from 1 species